rnacentral:rRNA from 1 species
UACGGGAGGCAGCAGUGGGGAAUAUUGCACAAUGGGCGAAAGCCUGAUGCAGCUAUGCCGCGUGUAUGAAGAAGGCCUUAGGGUUGUAAAGUACUUUCAUCGGGGAGGAAAAAACAAAACUAAUAAUUUUAUUUCUUGACGUUACCCGAAAAAGAAGCACCGGCUAACUCCGUGCCAGCAGCCGCGGUAAUACGGAGGGUGCUAGCGUUAAUCAGAAUUACUGGGCGUAAAGAGCACGUAGGUGGUUUUUUUAAAGUCAGAUGUGAAAUCCCUGGGCUUAACCUGGAACUGCAUUUUGAAACUGAAAUACUAGAGUAUCGUAGAGGGAGGUAGAAUUCUAGGUGUAGCGGUGAAAUGCGUAGAUAUCUGGAGGAAUACCUGUGGCGAAAGCGGCCUCCUAAACGAAUACUGACACUGAGGGUGCGAAAGCGUGGGGAGCAAACAGGGAUUAGAUA